UUCAAAUCUUAUGUAGUAUGACACAGUAACUUUUGUUAAGAAAAUAAUUGUAUGAAUUGGGUUAAUACAUAUGUGAAAUACACAUUUUAAAUCUAAUCUAAUCUUUAACCAUUCCACUAUGGAGUUUGCGACAAACGAAUGGCUACUGUAGAUUCACAUUUAUUAUGGAGAAGCCACAAAUUAAGAAACGACCAACAAAUUCACAUUGACGCAGGCCAAAUGUGAACUGAUAAAUGGCAACGCGAAUAAUAAAUACGACUUUGUAUGCCAAUUCAUUGUCCAUUCGCCCUGCGCGCACCGACUUGCGCCCUUCUAUCCAGCCGUUCGUCCGGCCCCCCCAGUCCACGGUCCCCAUCCUAAUGCAAUUUUCAUGUACAUUAAACAGCCACACACAAACAAUUCAGGACGAGGCUGGCUCGCGAAUGGUUCAUGUCGGUGUCCUUGGCACGGCGGCGACGAUACCAGAUGAUCGGCUUCAAGAUGAGCUCUUAAAGCAUACAAAAAUGCCAGGCAGUUAACCAGGACCAGUUUCAGAAACAGAAACAGAAACAGAACCAAAAGCAAGAACAAGAACAAGACCAAGACCAAGACCAAGACCAUCAGCAAAACCACAAAUAUUCUGCGGGCGCUUUUUGUGGCCAGAGGUUUGCCACCUUCAUGCAAGGUUAUUGGCCCACAGAGUUGGCUCUGGUUUUUUGGCUUCUUUAGUGGGUGGGAAAUAUGGGGAAUCAGGAAUGGGGAAAUGAGACUAAAAUAUACGCCUGGCAAUUUGAAAAGUCUGAAAGGCGGCCAUAAACAAAACUAAGGCCCGAUUAUAAAGAUGCGACGGCCAAUGAUGAUGAUAAUGAUAAUGAUGAUGAUGCCAUCAUUAAUGCCAGGCGAUGGCUUAUCGAUUUCAAAUGAAUUUCGAUACGACAACGAUGUGGACCGAUGCCAUUACACUGUGCAACAAUGUUUUUGAACAAGGCCAUUAAACGUCAAACAACUUCCUUGGAAAUUGAAAAGCGUAACUUCCUUUCCCGGAUGGGUCUUCUGUGAAGCUAAUGUUCAUCCUGCAUUAUUUACCGAUAUCAGAUGACCAACCGACUUAUUAGCGGAAAUAAAAGUCCAUUUCUCGAGGAGUAAAUUGGGUUUUGUGACUCGUGUGCCACUAGUAAUAUUAAAUUCAAAUCGAUAGCUGUGGAG